UGCGUAGAUGGCAUGUUAAGUUCGUCGUUAAAGGCUCUGGCCUAACCGGAGUAUUGCGAUGAAAACUGGCGUACUAGAGGGUGAGAGAGAGAAGUGGAAUUCCCGGAGUAGCGGUAAAAUGCGUGGAUCUCGGGAGGAACACCAAUGGCGAAGGCAGCUUCUUGGCUCAUUCCUGACAUUGAGGCACGAAAGCGUGGGGAGCAAACA
rnacentral:rRNA from 1 species